UGGAUUGUAAAGUUUACCCACCCUAAUGUUCAUCUUUAGUAAUCAACUGUCAAAUUCGAAUUCAUAGCUGCUAUGUGUUGUUGGCUCAGGUCCCGUUCGAGCUCAGUGACCUAUAAGAUAAAAAUGCGAUAUUCAAAUUUGGCGUUUUCGUUCUUAAUCAUUUACGCCUUUUUUGUUUGGAACGUAACUGGAUGCGUUGACACGGACACGAUCGAUUUGCUAGGAUCGCGUGACCUGGGACUCAAAAUGG